UGCGUUGUUGGGUAGGGGAGCGUUCUGUAAGCCUGUGAAGGUGGCCUGUGAGGGUUGCUGGAGGUAUCAGAAGUGCGAAUGCUGACAUAAGUAACGAUAAAGCGGGUGAAAAGCCCGCUCGCCGGAAGACCAAGGGUUCCUGUCCAACGUUAAUCGGGGCAGGGUGAGUCGACCCCUAAGGCGAGGCCGAAAGGCGUAGUCGAUGGGAAACGGGUUAAUAUUCCCGUACUUGGUGUUACUGCGAAGGGGGGACGGAGAAGGCUAUGUUGGCCGGGCGACGGUUGUCCCGGUUUAAGCGUGUAGGUGUGUGUUCCAGGUAAAUCCGGUUCACUUUAACACUGAGGCGUGAUGACGAGGC
rnacentral:rRNA from 1 species